rnacentral:tRNA from 1 species
CGCAGGGUGGAGCAGUUGGCAGCUCGUCGGGCUCAUAACCCGAAGGUCGUAGGUUCGAGUCCUACCCCUGCUA